rnacentral:rRNA from 1 species
AACGAACGCUGGCGGCAGGCUUAACACAUGCAAGUCGAGCGCCCCGCAAGGGGAGCGGCAGACGGGUGAGUAACACGUGGGAACGUACCCUUUUCUACGGAAUAACGCAGGGAAACUUGUGCUAAUACCGUAUACGCCCUUCGGGGGAAAGAUUUAUCGGAGAAGGAUCGGCCCGCGUUGGAUUAGCGAGUUGGUGGGGUAACGGCCUACCAAGGCGACGAUACAUAGCUGGUCUGAGAGGAUGAUCAGCCACAUUGGGACUGAGACACGGCCCAAACUCCUACGGGAGGCAGCAGUGGGGAAUAUUGGACAAUGGGCGCAAGCCUGAUCCAGCCAUGCCGCGUGAGUGAUGAAGGCCUUAGGGUUGUAAAGCUCUUUCACCGAUGAAGAUAAUGACGGUAGUCGGAGAAGAAGCCCCGGCUAACUUCGUGCCAGCAGCCGCGGUAAGAC